UUAGAUAGUAAUUCAAGUAAAAUAUUCUAGGAACACUAGGAACAAUAUUUUGGAACACUAAAGAUAGUUCAUUUAAAGAAUAAAUCUGUUACUCAGUGACUUUUAAAUUGUUUUGUAAAAGAUACUCAAAUUUUAUUAACUCUUCAAUAAUCUGCCUUACAAAUUUUUGUAUACUCACUGUCUAUAUCUCACAGUUUAGUGCUUCACUAUAUAUAUUUCUUAAUCAUUCAUAUAUUUGUCUUAUCUCACCAACCGUACUGAAAUUUCUGGAGGACAAGGAUUUUAUCUUAUCCUUUUUUUUUUCUUAUCAUGUACAGUACAGUGCUAAAUUCAUGGUAAGUGCUUAUUAAAAAAAACUGUCAACAUGUACAAAGUAAAUUAAAAAUUCAUUAAUUAUUUUUGAAACCACACAUUUUAAAAAAGUUUUUUGCCAGUAUUAAAAGUGAAACACAUGGUAUUUGCUCUUAAGAUACUAUAGGUUAGUAAUAGGUUACUUUUCCAAGUAUUGUUGAAGAUACUGAGCUUAAAUUUUUAAGCAAAUUUUUUAAAAGUUAGAAGUGUUUUCAGAUAAUUUUCUUUUCAUAUUAGAAAGGCUUAUUUAGCACAGAUAUUUGAACCUCUGCUAUAUAUUCUAGUGCAUUAUUCUAGUGCUGUGGAAACUGUUUAACAAAACACCACCACUGUGUCCAUUGGGGCUCACAUUCUAAUGGGGGAUUCAGUUCAUGAACAAGUAUAAUUCCAAGUGAAGAUAGGUGG